AUUAACGCUGGCAGAGUGCAUAACACAUGCAAGUCGAGCGGGGGUGGCGGCUUAUCGCGCCCUAGCGGCAGACGAGUGAGUAACACGUAAGAAACCUGCCCUUGAAAGGCGGAUAACGCAUCGAAAGAUGCGCUAAUACGCCGUAUGAUCUCCCGGUGGCAUCAUCGGGGGAUGAAAGCCCGCAAGGGCGUUCGAGGAGGGUCUUGCGUCCCAUCAGCUAGUUGGCGGUGUAACGGACCACCAAGGCUAUGACGGGUACCCGGCCUGAAAGGGCGGACGGGCACGAAGGCACUGAGAAACGGGCCUUACUCCUACGGGAGGCAGCAGUGGGGAAUUUUGGACAAUGGGCGCAAGCCUGAUCCAGCAACUCUGCGUGAGGGACGAAGGUCUUCGGAUUGUAAACCUCUUUUAUUGGGGACGAAUGCCCGCAAGGGUUUGACGGUACCCGAUGAAUAAGCCACGGCUAACUAUGU
rnacentral:rRNA from 1 species